GUGCCAUUUUGUUUGUAUUAUAUCCGGUUUCAAGCACCACGGUCAUCAUGUGCAUGCAUUUUGUUGAAAAGAAUGGAAAAUGCAGAAAUAUGUGUGCAGCAUUCUCAAAAGAAGCCAGUCUCAGUAAAGAAUUAUGGGACAUCUAUGUGAAAAUGUCUGCUGCAUAUGGAAUCCCAAGAGAAAAUAUACAAGAUAUCAUCAAAAACGACACCUGUCCUCAAUGAACCUAUGGAUUUGGUUUCAAGAUUGAUACGACUUGCUACAUAUCUGUCCAUGGCAUCUAAUUCACAAAUGUGAAGGUGGACCCAUCUUUCUUUCCCAAUUAUGCAUUCACCUUUCUUGUGGUGUUCAGAUUCAUCACACUGUUCUUUCUUCAAGUUUCUUCCCUUGCCCUUUUUAGUGGAAUUUUCUUUCUUUGUGAAUCAAUGAAUAAAUUUCAUCUACUGGCAUAAAAUUUU